rnacentral:rRNA from 1 species
UUUCCGGUUGAUCCUGCCGGAAGCCAUUGCUAUUGGGAUCCGAUUUAGCCAUGCUAGUCGUACGAGUUCAUACUCGUGGCGAAUAGCUCAGUAACACGUGGCCAAACUACCCUUCGGAGCUCCAUACCCUCGGGAAACUGAGGCUAAUAGAGCAUCACACACCACCACUGGAAUGAGUAGUGUGUCAAACGCUCCGGCGCCGAAGGAUGUGGCUGCGGCCGAUUAGGUAGACGGUGGGGUAACGGCCCACCGUGCCAAUAAUCGGUAUGGGUCAUGAGAGUGAGAACCCAGAGACGGAAUCUGAGACAAGAUUCCGGGCCCUACGGGGCGCAGCAGGCGCGAAACCUUUACACUGCACGACAGUGCGAUAGGGGGAUCCCAAGUGCACAGGCAUAGCGCCUGUGCUUUUCGGUACCCUAAGGCGGUACCAGAAUAAGGGCUGGGCAAGACCGGUGCCAGCCGCCGCGGUAAUACCGGCAGCCCAAGUGAUGGCCGAUCUUAUUGGGCCUAAAGCGUCCGUAGCUGGCCGCGCAAGUCCAUCGGGAAAUCCACCUGCCCAACAGGUGGGCGCCCGGUAGAAACUGCGUGGCUUGGGACCGGAAGGCGCGACGGGUACGUCUGGGGUAGGAGUGAAAUCCCGUAAUCCUGGACGGACCGCCGAUGGCGAAAGCACGUCGCGAGAACGGAUCCGACAGUGAGGGACGAAAGCCAGGGUCUCGAACCGGAUUAGAUACCCGGGUAGUCCUGGCCGUAAACAAUGUCUGCUAGGUGUGGCUCCCACUACGAGUGGGUGCUGUGCCGUAGGGAAGCCGCUAAGCAGACCGCC